GUGUCUGCAUCUGGGUCUCGCCCUGUGCCCUUCCCCUAAAAUAAAUUGACAUUUUGCCAAAAUUACAUAAUUACUCCUAAGUAAAAUUAUUCAAGAUCCUUAAAUAGCUGUGGAUUGUUUCAAACCACAAAUGUAUAGGCCUAUGCUAUUGGGGAAAGCCAGCAGUUUGGGCGGCACGUGUUGAAACAGGCCUAGCUGUUUACUGGGGCCCCAUCCUGUUCAGCCUCUACAGUAAUGAUCUGCCUUCUGUCUGUACUGGGUCCAAAGUACACAUGCAGAUUAUACAGUGAUAUGUGCAUGCAAAGAGAAACAACAAGCUGCACAAGAACUCACAGCAGAAAUCGUCCCAUGUUACAAAGUGGCUCAGUGACUCAUGUUUGCGUCUCCUAUAAUGUUCUACACAUACGUCAUUGUUUGAUUACAGAGGCAGCAAAACUGUACUUCAACGCUGUGAUAAUGCUAUGGCCCCCCUCCCUUAACAUACUGCUUGACUAGUUGGGCCCAAGCUUGCUGUACAACAUUGCAACUCAUUCAGUCUGUCCAUAAACAAACUAUCUUGUGAAAUACAUGUACCCAUGUCGUGUUUUCAAGUUCGUAAAUGGCAAUAGAAUAAACUUUUCGCUCAACUGCGUUACCCACUCCAGUCAAUAGAGGGUGAUGUGCGUCUUGCAGGCGAAGCUGCUGAUGUGACGUAUAAUCUAGUGGACGGGACGCUUCUUCAACAACACAGCUAGUCAAGCCUCUUCGGUAGCUUGCUAGCCAACAUACCCGAAACAUUACAGCUCUUUAGACACUUUUAUAUGUAUAUUAGCCUCUGUGUUUUAAGCAAACUUAUGUUUUAUAGCUAGUUGCCGCAUUUAAUUUCAUUUUACGUUGUUAGUAGUCAGCUAGCUGGUUUGCUAAAUUAGUUCAGCACUAAUGCUAACUAGCUAGCUAACAUCCCGAACAUGAACUCACUAAGCUACUCCCUCCCUGCUAAAGAAGAGGUCUGCUGGACGGAGAAAGAAACUCUCAUGAAAGAGGAAGAGGUCACAGUGAAAGAGGAAGAGAAAGAAGUUACGGUGAAAAAAGAGGAAGAAGACUUCAGAGUGAAAGAAGAAGAUUUUAUUGCGAAAGAAGAAAAGGAAGAGGAAGUGUUUGGAUCGAAGGAGGAAGGCGAGAUUACUGUCACAUUGGAGGAGGAGACUGGAGAUCUGAUUAAAUCCACUACCUUAAGAUGGAUGCACUAACAAGUUGCUCUGGAUAGUGACCAUACUAUUCCCUUAAAGCCACACAGUGUAAAAAUACAUGGGUCAUGUGAACAAUGGAGCACAUGCAUCACAAGCUAAGAGAGAAUGGAGCACAUGGAUCACAUGCUAAGAACACUUGACUAAGAGCGACCCGACUCAGAGGAACCAGAGACGUCUGAACCAGUGAGACGACACCACUGUUCCCAGUGUGGAAAGAGUUUUACCCAUUUAGGGAGUCUUAAAAACCACAAGAGAACACAUGCAGAGAAGAAGUCUUACAACUGCUCUCAGUGUGGAAAGAGUUUUAGCUGGUCUGGGCAACUGAAAGAACACGAGAGAAUACACACAGGAGUGAAGCCUUACCACUGCUCCCAGUGUGGAAAGAGGUUUUUCAAGUCAUCACAUCUGAACGAGCAUAAGAGAAUACACACAGGAGAAAAAACAUUCCAAUGCUCUCAGUGUGGAAGGGCAUUUUCCCGAUCAGGGGACCUGAAAUCACAUGAAAGAAUACACACAGGGGAAAAGCCUUAUCACUGCUCUCAAUGCGGAAAGAGUUUUACCCGUUUAGGGAACCAAAAAAUGCAUGAGCGAAUACACACAGGAGUGAAGCCUUACAACUGCUCACAGUGUGAAAAGAGUUUUGCGAAGUUAGGGAACCUUAAAAUACAUAAAAGAAUACACACAGGGGAAAAACCAUUCCAAUGCUCUCAGUGUGGAAAGACAUUUUCACGAUCAGGGGACCUGAAAUCACAUGAAAGAAUACACACAGGGGAAAAGCCUUAUCACUGUUCCCAUUGUAAAAGUAGUUUUAGCUGGUCAGGGCAACUGAAAGAGCAUGAGAGAACACACACAGGAGUGAAGCCUUACCACUGCUCCCAGUGUGGAAAGAGUUUUAGAAGGUUGGGGUCCCUUAAAUCACAUAAGCUGUAUACACACACAGGAGAAAAUCCAUGUAACUUCUCCCAGUGUGAAAAUACCUAUUUAUCAUCAGGGGACAUGAAAAAGCCUGAGAGAAAACACUCUGUAGAGAAGCCUUUCCAGUGCUCUCAGUGUGGUAAGGGAUUUUUCCAGUCAUCGCAUCUGAAAGUGCAUAAGAGAAUACACACAAGAGAGAAGCCAUUCCAAUGCUUGCAGUGUGGAAAGAGUUAUACCCGGCUAGGGAACUUGAAAACGCAUGAGAUGACACACACAGGAGAGAAGCCGUUCCAAUGCCGUCAGUGUGGAAAGCGUUUUACCUGGUUAGGGAACCUGAAAAUGCAUAAGGUGACACACAAAGUUGGCUAGCCUCACCUCUUUUCCCAGUGUGAAAAGGGUUUUGUUCAUUUAAAGGACUUGAAAGAGCAUGAGAAAGUACAAACACGGGAGGAGAAGACAUACCACUGCUCCUCAUUGCCCAAAUACACUUUCAGGGGACCUGAAAUCACAUGGGAGAAAAGAGAGGCUGUGUUCUGACUGUUUUUGACUGUUUUUGGAUGUUGACAUGAAAUUUAAUUGUAUAUAUAAAAUCAUACUCAAAAUUAGGUCUACAUUUGUUUUUCUAUUUUAACCUCCAAAUAUCUCAAAUCGGAUUUAAUCAAAUGAAAUGUGUAUUUCGCUUUGAUUAUAGACAUUGAUUGUUUGAAUGGAUACAAAUGUGGAUAUUUAAUUUGAUGAUUUGGAUAUUUCAAAUUGUAAAUUAACAAGUAGAUUAAUAUAAUUCAGAUUCCUUUAUUCUAACCUUGAAACCUCUUUAAAUUUAGUUGUUGUGUUUCGUUGACUUAAUUUGUGUACUAGUCAUCAAGGAAUAUGAAAAUGUUGUUCUGAUGAUAACGUUGGACAUUAAAAACAUUCAAUACCUC